ACGCUUCUUUUUCACCGGGAGUUUGCUCACCGAAGAAGAGGAGGGUCAAACGGGUGAGUAACACGUGGGUAACCUGCGCAUCUGAAGGGGAUAACACUUGGCUACUGGCGCUAAUACCGUAUAACCAUCGGGACCGCAUGGGUUUGAUUUGAAAGGUGCUUUCGGGUGACGCUGAUGGAUGGACCCGCGUAGCAUUAGCUAGUUGGUGAGGUAACGGCUCACCAAGGCCACCAUGCUUAGCCGACCUGAGAGGGUGAUCGGACACAUUGGGACUGAGACACGGCCCAAACUCCUACGGGAGGCAAUCUUAGGGAAUCUUCGAAAAUGGACGAAAGUCUGACCGAGCAACGCCGCGAGAGUGAAGAAGGUUUUCGGAUCGUAAAACUCUGUUGUUAGAGAAGAACAAGGAUGAGAGUAACUGUUCAUCCCUUGACGGUAUCUAACCAGAAAGCCACGGCUAACUACGUGCCAGCAGCCGCGGUAAUACAUAGGUGGCAAGAGUUGUCCGGAUUUAUUGGGCGUAAAGCGAGCGCGCGGUUCUUAAGUACUGAUGUGAAAGCCCCCGGCUCACCGUUGGAGGGUCAUUGGAAACUGGGAGACUUGAGUGCAGAAGAGGAGAGUGGAAUUCCAUGUGUAGCGGGAAAUGCGUAGAUAUAUGGAGGAACACCAGUGGGAAGGCGGUCUCUCUGGUCUGUAACUGACGUGAGGCUCGAAAGCGUGGGGAGCAAACAGGAUUAGAUACCCUGGUAGUCCACGCCGUAACGAUGAGUGCUAAGUGUUGGAGGGUUUCCGCCCUUCAGUGCUGCAGCUAACGCAUUAAGCACUCCGCCUGAGGGAGUACGACCGCAAGGUUGAAACUCAAAGGAAUUGACGGGGGCCCGCACAAGCGGUGGAGCAUGUGGUUUAAUUCGAAGCAACGCGAAGAACCUUACCAGGUCUUGACAUCCUUUGACCACUCUAGAGAUAGAGCUUCCCCUUCGGGGGCAAAGUGCCAGGUGGUGCAUGGUUGUCGUCAGCUCGUGUCGUGAGAUGUUGGGUUAAGUCCCGCAACGAGCGCAACCCUUAUUGUUAGUUGCCAUCAUUCAGUUGGGCACUCUAGCAAGACUGCCGGUGCCAACCCGGAGGAAGGUGGGGAUGACGUCAAAUCAUCAUGCCCCUUAUGACCUGGGCUCCACACGUGCUCCAAUGGGAAGUCCAACGAGUUGCGAAGUCGGGAGGCUAAGCUAAUCUCUUAAAGCUUCUUUCAGUUCGGAUUGCAGGCUGCAACUCGCCUCCAUGAAGCCGGAAUCGCUAGUAAUCGCGGAUCACCACGCCGCGGUGAAUACGUUCCCGGGCCUUGUCCACACCGCCCGUCACACCACGAGAGUGUGUACACACCGCGAAGUGCGGUGAGGUAACAUUAUGAGCCAGCC
rnacentral:rRNA from 1 species